UCGAUUUGGAGUUUGUUGCCUUGAGUGAUGGGCUCCGAAGCUAACGCGAUAAAUCGACCGCCUGGGGAGUACGGCCGCAAGGCUAAAACUCAAAUGAAUUGACGGGGGCCCGCACAAGCGGUGGAGCAUGUGGUUUAAUUCGAUGCAACGCGAAGAACCUUACCUGGUCUUGACAUCCACAGAAUCUUGCAGAGAUGCGAGAGUGCCUUCGGGAACUGUGAGACAGGUGCUGCAUGGCUGUCGUCAGCUCGUGUUGUGAAAUGUUGGGUUAAGUCCCGCAACGAGCGCAACCCUUAUCCUUUGUUGCCAGCGAUUCGGUCGGGAACUCAAAGGAGACUGCCGUUGAUAAAGCGGAGGAAGGUGGGGACGACGUCAAGUCAUCAUGGCCCUUACGACCAGGGCUACACACGUGCUACAAUGGCGUAUACAAAGGGAGGCGACCUCGCGAGAGCAAGCGGACCUCACAAAGUACGUCUAAGUCCGGAUUGGAGUCUGCAACUCGACUCCAUGAAGUCGGAAUCGCUAGUAAUCGUGAAUCAGAAUGUCACGGUGAAUACGUUCCCGGGCCU
rnacentral:rRNA from 1 species